rnacentral:rRNA from 1 species
AAUCAACGCUGGCGGCGUGCCUCAGACAUGCAAGUCGAACGAUUAAAGCUCUCUUCGGAGAGUGCAUAGAGUGGCGCACGGGUGAGUAACACGUAAGUAAUCUACCUUCGAGUGGGGAAUAACGUCCGGAAACGGACGCUGAUACCGCAUAAUGCAGCGGCAUCGCAAGAUGACAGUUGUUAAAGAUUUAUCGCUUGAAGAGGAGCUUGCGGCAGAUUAGCUAGUUGGUAAGGUAAUGGCUUACCAAGGCUACGAUCUGUAACCGGUCUUAGAGGACGGUCGGUCACGCUGACACUGAAUAACGGGUCAGACUCCUACGGGAGGCAGCAGUCGGGAAUUUUGGGCAAUGGGCGAAAGCCUGACCCAGCAACGCCGCGUGAAGGAUGAAGUAUUUCGGUAUGUAAACUUCGAAAGAAUGGGAAGAAUCAAUGACGGUACCAUUUAUAAGGUCCGGCUAACUACGUGCCAGCAGCCGCCGUAACAC